rnacentral:lncRNA from 1 species
CUGGUGAAGAGGCUUCGGCAAUGGCAGCUGCUGCUCUAGCUUUGUGGUUAUAAAUGGCGAAAAUACCGACACAAAUACCGAUAAAACCGAACACACCAACUAUGCUUCCGAUUAUUGCAGGAGUGCUACUUUUCUUUCUUGAGACACUUCUAUUAUUACUAUUACUAUUUCUAUUACUUGCUGUCGGAGGAUUUGGAGUAUAGUUUGAACCCGAACACGUAUUCGUUGUGUCCAAUGCGGUGUUACCGAUUAAACUGCCAUUUUAAUAAGUAUCCCAAUAAAACAUUAUUAAUAUACUAUAUUAAUGAUAAUAUUAAGAAAAUGGUAAGAAAUAUAGGGUUGUUUUAGUUUACCUUAAUUUCAAGUUCUUGUUGCAUAAUAGUGAACUUGG